AGAGCGAACGCUGGCGGCAGGCUUAACACAUGCAAGUCGAGCGGGCGUAGCAAUACGUCAGCGGCAGACGGGUGAGUAACGCGUGGGAACGUACCUUUUGGUUCGGAACAACACAGGGAAACUUGUGCUAAUACCGGAUAAGCCCUUACGGGGAAAGAUUUAUCGCCGAAAGAUCGGCCCGCGUCUGAUUAGCUAGUUGGUGAGGUAACGGCUCACCAAGGCGACGAUCAGUAGCUGGUCUGAGAGGAUGAUCAGCCACAUUGGGACUGAGACACGGCCCAAACUCCUACGGGAGGCAGCAGUGGGGAAUAUUGGACAAUGGGCGCAAGCCUGAUCCAGCCAUGCCGCGUGAGUGAUGAAGGCCCUAGGGUUGUAAAGCUCUUUUGUGCGGGAAGAUAAUGACGGUACCGCAAGAAUAAGGCCCCGGCUAACUUCGUGCCAGCAGCCGC
rnacentral:rRNA from 1 species